CCCCAGGUUGACUCUUACCCUCCCAUACCUUAGAGAUCAAAGCCUAGGGAUGGUGAGACAUCUUAUUCCUAUCCCAGUCAUGAGCACCAAUUUCCACUGCUGCAUGGCCAUUUUUCUCCUGGGGAUAGGUUCUAUGGAUGCUGGAGUCACCCAGAUCCCAAAACUCUUAGUCAAAGAGAAAGGACAGAAGGCUACCCUGAGAUGUAAACAGAAUUUGAAUCAUGACUAUAUGUACUGGUAUCGGCAGGAUGACAAAGGAUUCCAGGCCAUGUUUUCUUGGAAUAAUAAUGAGCUCUUUGAGAACUUUACUAACUCCAAUCAUUUCAGACCUAAACGUCUGGACAAGGCCCAACUGAACCUUCAAAUCGAAACUCUGCAGCCCGUGGACACAGCUGUCUACUUCUGUGCCAGCAGUUAUAGCACAGUGCUCCAAAGUCACGCUUUCUCUGUGCACAAACUUCCCCCAGCCACACCACAGGCAGAGCAGGAGGUGAGAGGGGCCAACAGUCAUUCCUUGUGA